GAAGGUAGCAUAAUCAUUAGUCUUUUAAUUGAAGGCUUGUAUGAAUGGUUGGACAAAAAGCAAGCUGUCUCAAUUAUAAUAAUUGAACUUAACUUUUAAGUGAAAAGGCUUAAAUAAAUUAAGGGGACGAUAAGACCCUAUAAAGCUUGACAAUAAUUUAAUUAUACUAUCAAUUGUUAGUGUAACUUGGUUUUAGUUAAAAUUUGUUGCGUUGGGGCGACGAGAAUAUAAUAGGUAACUGUUCUUAAAUAUUUAAUAACAAAUAUAAUUGAAAAAUAGUGUGAUCCUCUAUUAGCGAUCAAAAGAUUAAGUUACUUUAGGGAUAACAGCGUA
rnacentral:rRNA from 1 species